GGGUCUGCGUUUCAUUAGCUAGUUGGUAGGGUAAUGGCCUACCAAGGCAACGAUGAGUAGCUGGUCUGAGAGGAUGAUCAGCCACACUGGAACUGAAACACGGUCCAGACUCCUACGGGAGGCAGCAGUGGGGAAUAUUGCGCAAUGGGCGAAAGCCUGACGCAGCAACGCCGUGUGAGGGAUGAAGGCUUUCGGGUCGUAAACCUCUGUCGGAAGGGAAGAACGGGCAUUGGUCUAAUAGGCCUUUGUUUUGACGGUACCUUUAGAGGAAGCACCGGCUAACUCCGUGCCAGCAGCCGCGGUAAUACGGAGGGUGCAAGCGUUAUUCGGAAUUACUGGGCGUAAAGCGCACGUAGGCGGCCUUGUAAGUCAGGGGUGAAAUCCCACGGCUCAACCGUGGAACUGCCUUUGAAACUGCAGGGCUUGAAUCCUGGAGAGGGUGGCGGAAUUCCUGGUGUAGGAGUGAAAUCCGUAGAUAUCAGGAGGAACACCGGUGGCGAAGGCGGCCACCUGGACAGGCAUUGACGCUGAGGUGCGAAAGUGUGGGGAGCAAACAGGAUUAGAUACCCUGGUAGUCCACACCGUAAACGAUGGACGCUAGGUGCCGGG
rnacentral:rRNA from 1 species